UCGAGAAUUUUUGACAAUGGGGGAAACCCUGAUCGAGCGACGCCGCGUGGAGGAUGAAGGUCUUCGGAUUGUAAACUCCUGUCAUUUGGGAACAAGGUGCACACGUUAACUGCGUGUGCAUUGAUAGUACCAGAAGAGGAAGAGACGGCUAACUCUGUGCCAGCAGCCGCGGUAAUACAGAGGUCUCAAGCGUUGUUCGGAUUCAUUGGGCGUAAAGGGUGCGUAGGCGGCGCGGUAAGUCGGGUGUGAAAUCUCGGAGCUUAACUCCGAAACUGCAUUCGAUACUGCCGUGCUUGAGGACUGGAGAGGAGACUGGAAUUUACGGUGUAGCGGUGAAAUGCGUAGAUAUCGUAAGGAAGACCAGUGGCGAAGGCGGGUCUCUGGACAGUUCCUGACGCUGAGGCACGAAGGCCAGGGGAGCAAACG
rnacentral:rRNA from 1 species